rnacentral:rRNA from 1 species
UACAGAGGUCCCGAGCGUUGUUCGGAUUCACUGGGCGUAAAGGGUGCGUAGGUGGUGAGGUAAGUCGGAUGUGAAAUCUCCGGGCUCAACCCGGAAAUGGCAUUGGAAACUACCUUGCUGGAGGAUUUGAGGGGGGAUUGGAAUACUUGGUGUAGCAGUGAAAUGCGUAGAUAUCGGGAGGAACACCAGUGGCGAAGGCGACUACCUGGCCUGUUUCUUGACGCUGAGGCGCGAAAGCUAGGGGAGCAAACGGG